UACGUAGGGGGCAAGCGUUGUCCGGAAUUAUUGGGCGUAAAGCGCACGUAGGCGGCUUUCUAAGUCAGGGGUGAAAUCCUGGAGCUCAACUCCAGAACUGCCUUUGAUACUGGAGAGCUUGAGUCCGGGGAGAGGUGAGUGGAACUCCGAGUGUAGAGGUGAAAUUCGUAGAUAUUCGGAAGAACACCAGUGGCGAAGGCGGCUCACUGGCCCGGUACUGACGCUGAUGUGCGAAAGCGUGGGGAGCAAACAGG
rnacentral:rRNA from 1 species